AGAGUUUGAUCCUGGCUCAGGAUGAACGCUAGCGACAGGCCUAACACAUGCAAGUCGAGGGGUAACAUGAGUGCUUGCACUUGAUGACGACCGGCGCACGGGUGCGUAACGCGUAUGCAACUUACCUUGUACUGGGGAAUAGCCCGUGGAAACGCGGAUUAAUGUCCCAUAACACUACAAUUUCGCAUGGAAAAGUGGUUAAAGUUCCGACGGUACAAGAUGGGCAUGCGUGACAUUAGCUAGUUGGUGAGGUAAUGGCUCACCAAGGCGACGAUGUCUAGGGGUUCUGAGAGGAAGGUCCCCCACACUGGUACUGAGACACGGACCAGACUCCUACGGGAGGCAGCAGUGAGGAAUAUUGGUCAAUGGGCGCAAGCCUGAACCAGCCAUGUCGCGUGCAGGAAGACUGCCCUACGGGUUGUAAACUGCUUUUGUAUGGGAAGAAACGUUGGUACGUGUACCAAUUUGCCGGUACCAUACGAAUAAGGAUCGGCUAACUCCGUGCCAGCAGCCGCGGUAAUACGGAGGAUCCAAGCGUUAUCCGGAUUUAUUGGGUUUAAAGGGUGCGUAGGCGGUAGAAUAAGUCAGUGGUGAAAUCCUGCAGCUUAACUGUAGAACUGCCAUUGAUACUGUUUUACUUGAGUGUAAUUGAGGUAGGCGGAAUGUGUUGUGUAGCGGUGAAAUGCAUAGAUAUAACACAGAACACCGAUUGCGAAGGCAGCUUACUAAGUUAUAACUGACGCUGAUGCACGAAAGCGUGGGUAGCGAACAGGACUAGAUACCCUGGUAGUCCACGCCGUAAACGAUGAUUACUCGCUGUAGGCAAUACACCGUCUGUGGCUGAGCGAAAGCAUUAAGUAAUCCACCUGGGGAGUACGUUGGCAACAAUGAAACUCAAAGGAAUUGACGGGGGCCCGCACAAGCGGAGGAACAUGUGGUUUAAUUCGAUGAUACGCGAGGAACCUUACCUGGACUUAAAUGUAGAUUGACGUAUCCAGAGAUGGAUAUUUCUUCGGACAAUUUACAAGGUGCUGCAUGGUUGUCGUCAGCUCGUGCCGUGAGGUGUCGGGUUAAGUCCCAUAACGAGCGCAACCCCUGUUGUUAGUUACCAGCACAUCAUGGUGGGGACUCUAACAAGACUGCCGGUGUAAACCGCGAGGAAGGUGGGGAUGACGUCAAAUCAGCACGGCCCUUACGUCCAGGGCUACACACGUGUUACAAUGGCCGGUACAGAGGGCAGCUACUUGGUGACAAGAUGCGAAUCUCAAAAACCGGUCUCAGUUCGGAUCGAAGUCUGCAACCCGACUUCGUGAAGCUGGAUUCGCUAGUAAUCGCAUAUCAGCCAUGAUGCGGUGAAUACGUUCCCGGGCCUUGUACACACCGCCCGUCAAACCAUGGAAGUCGAGG
rnacentral:rRNA from 1 species